rnacentral:lncRNA from 1 species
AUAAGCGAUUGAAAUUUCAAAAACGAACUGAAGAAAUAGGUGAGACAAAACUGGUACAGGACUUAUAUGAUACCUGGACUCCAUCUGGAAACCCGGUGGCUGAAUAUGAAAAUAAGUUGGCUACCUCCAUGGUAAAAUCUUCUCCAACUUCAGUUGUAAAUCAGCAGAAGCAGCUUCGAGAAUCUGACUCACUGCAGUACCAACACAUCUCCAAUUCAUUUGUAGCCCCUUCCACAUAUGGGAAUCUUUUAAACCAAUGUCCUGCAAUACCUGCUUUAUCCAACAUCCAGUCUGGUGAAUUUUAUCAGCAGCCCUUACUUUCUUGUUAUAAUGUUUC